rnacentral:rRNA from 1 species
UGCAAGUCGAGCGGUAACAGAAAGUAGCUUGCUACUUUGCUGACGAGCGGUGGACGGGUGAGUAAUGCUUGGGAACAUGCCUUGAGGUGGGGGACAACAGUUGGAAACGACUGCUAAUACCGCAUAAUGUCUACGGACCAAAGGGGGCUUCGGCUCUCGCCUUUAGAUUGGCCCAAGUGGGAUUAGCUAGUUGGUGAGGUAAUGGCUCACCAAGGCAACGAUCCCUAGCUGGUUUGAGAGGAUGAUCAGCCACACUGGGACUGAGACACGGCCCAGACUCCUACGGGAGGCAGCAGUGGGGAAUAUUGCACAAUGGGCGCAAGCCUGAUGCAGCCAUGCCGCGUGUGUGAAGAAGGCCUUCGGGUUGUAAAGCACUUUCAGUCAGGAGGAAAGGUUAGUAGUUAAUACCUGCUAGCUGUGACGUUACUGACAGAAGAAGCACCGGCUCACUCCGUGCCAGCAGCCGCGGUAAUACGGAGGGUGCGAGCGUUAAUCGGAAUUACUGGGCGUAAAGCGUACGCAGGCGGUUUGUUAAGCGAGAUGUGAAAGCCCCGGGCUCAACCUGGGAACUGCAUUUUCGAACUGGCAAACUAGAGUGUGAUAGAGGGUGGUAGAAUUUCAGGUGUAGCGGUGAAAUGCGUAGAGAUCUGAAGGAAUACCGAUGGCGAAGGCAGCCACCUGGGUCAACACUGACGCUCAUGUACGAAAG